UGGCGCUCUCUGAACCCCUCUGUCCGUGACUACACGUAUUACUCCCAGACCCACGACUCCUAUCAACGUCUGGACUACCUGCUGAUCCAUUCAUUGCUCCUUCCCUCACUUACAUCUACAGAUGGCACAUCAAGAUGGGUAUCCCCAGAUUUGACAAUUGGUUCUGCUAUCUGGACCAGAACCUCAACAAGUAAAUAUGCCUUGUCCUAUAAGAAGACAAUGAUUAAAAGACAGUUCAUACGGUUUGAUUCCUAAGCGCUUAUGUUCUCUGUUUGCAUACUGAUGGCUCCGCUGGCUUCUCAAGUAUAGUAGAAUACCUGUGUCUUGGAAAAUUAAAGGGUCCACCAUAAACCAAUAUACAGUAGCUUUCACUUCUUAAUGUCUAAAGUAGUCAGCUGACAAAAGAGAUCAUACACUGACAUCUGCUGGUCACAAGUUAAACUGCUCUGGAAAACCAAAAUAUAAAAAAAUAUGUGAGCCUAGCCAAAUUAUUGGGGCUUAUAUAGGAUUCUUUUUCUAAACCUAUUUUAGGGAACAUUAAUACCGUAAUUUAUUAAGAUGAAGCAGUGUCU